rnacentral:rRNA from 1 species
CCUUAGAGUUUGAUCCUGGCUCAGGACGAACGCUGGCGGCGUGCCUAACACAUGCAAGUCGAGCGGGGACAUAUGUGGAAGCCUUCGGGUGGAAGGAUAUGUUCUAGCGGCGGACGGGUGAGUAACGCGUGAGUAACCUUUCCUUCACAGGGGAAUAACACAGCGAAAGUUGUACUAAUACCGCAUAACACCACGGUGAGACAUCUUACAGGGGUCAAAGGAGCAAUCCGGUGAAGGGUGGGCUCGCGUCCGAUUAGAUAGUUGGUGAGGUAACGGCCCACCAAGUCGACGAUCGGUAGCCGACCUGAGAGGGUGAUCGGCCACAUUGGGACUGAGACACGGCCCAAACUCCUACGGGAGGCAGCAAUGGGGAAUAUUGGGCAAUGGGGGGAACCCUGACCCAGCAACGCCGCGUGAGGGAAGAAGGUUUUCGGAUCGUAAACCUCUGUCCUUGGUGAAGAGCAAGAGACGGUAACCAGGGAGGAAGCCCCGGCUAACUACGUGCCAGCAGCCGCGGUAAUACGUAGGGGGCAAGCGUUGUCCGGAAUGAUUGGGCGUAAAGGGCGCGUAGGCGGCCUUUUAAGUCUGGAGUGAAAGUCCUGUUUUUAAGAUGGGAAUUGCUUUGGAUACUGGAAGGCUUGAGUGCAGGAGAGGUUAGUGGAAUUCCCAGUGUAGCGGUGAAAUGCGUAGAGAUUGGGAGGAACACCAGUGGCGAAGGCGACUAACCGGACUGUAACUGACGCUGAGGCGCGAAAGUGUGGGGAGCAAACAGGAUUAGAUACCCUGGUAGUCCACACUGUAAAC